rnacentral:lncRNA from 1 species
CUGAGCCACAGCCCCAGCACUGAAUAAUAUUUUUAAUGUUCCUAAAGAAAUAACUACAGAUUCUUCUGAUAUGACAAAUAGGUCAUUAGUUUUUCUUUUUGGAAAAAAGGUUGAAGUUUUGGGUCCCUUAGUCUAUGAUGACCACACAACUCAUCCUUUUGUUUUGUAAUCUGGCAUUAUGAAAGCCCUUUGCCACAAACAAGAAACCCAUGGAAUAGGGGCUAAAGGACAGAAGCCCAGUUUUGUGAAGUUAGCCUGCUCCCUGUGUCUCUCCCCCAAGGCCAGGAAUGUGGCAGUUGUUCAUGUUGCCCUCUGCCCUGGAGCUGGUGAAGUAAGACAGUUGGGAAGAAAACAAGCACUUUGUCCUGUCUCCCAGCUUUCAGGUUAAGGGCCAAAGUAAUUAUUGUGGUAAUGUUUGGGGAAAAUUAUUUUUGAAAACUUGUAAAUGUCUGUCAAUAUUUCAACAAUGGUAAUCCUUUUGGUUUUUAAAGCAUAUAUGCUGCAAUGGAAUUCAUUACUUUAAUUAAUAGAGACAGUGUUCAGAAGGUGUUUGGUAUUUCCCCCCAAUCCCUAGAAACUGUUUUAAAAACAUGGUACUGCAUGCCCAAGAAUGUGGUUAUUGACCAACAUUUGCAUUCUCUGGGUGUAGACAAAUUGGGCAGCUGUCCCUGUUGUUAUGAUGGACCUUGAAUGCACAUUAACUGUAGAGUGACUUUCCAUUUUAUUUACUAAUUAAGUGACAGAUAGGAAAAUAAGUUUAAAAGGUGAAAUAUUUAUGGCAUGCCCAAUCUUGGGUUUUAAAUUACACCAAAUCAUGUUAUUUUUGAUUAUCUGAAUCUGGGGUCUGUCCUUCUAAAAAUCUUUUAGAAGAUUUUUAAAAUCAAUAAAUAGCAUUUUAUAUUUCAUUAGGUUCAUUGUUCUAUGAAUGCAGAGAAUAACUAGGUCCAUGAAAGGAAGAUAAGUCCUCACAGAAGGAAAAUUAGUGUUACACUGAAAUGUGCUUCAGAUGGACAAAAAUAGAGGUUCAGAUCAUUGGAUCAGAAUUUAUUGUGAGCAAAUCCACACACUAAGAGAACAUUUCAGGGAUCCUGAACACUGCAAAAUAACGUAGAUUGAUUUUUUUUACCCUUUGGCAUUUGAAAUAAAGGCCAGAAUAGGGUCUAGAAAGGGAAAUAAGAUCAUUGGCCAUAUUAUAUAGCCAUUAGGUCCCUUUACCAGUCACUGACCAGUGGGCUGCACAUACCCACUAGUCCUUUCUCAGAGAAGGGCUGGAAAAUGAGAGAGUGGGGUGAGAGGGGAGCAAUCAAACUGGAUUGUCCUCUUAAAAUCAAUGAAAAAUGGUAGUCAAAAGAUUUGGUUGAGGGUGAACUGAACGUUUUGUACUUUUAAUGACCACCAAAUGACUGUCUACAACUGGGUAAACUAAAAACACAUGUUCUAUUGCUGCCAGGUUGUGAUCGCUUUUUUCUUAUAUGAAAGAUGGGAUAUGCUGCAAGUAGUAUGCACAACAUUAAGAUAAACCUCAUAUAUUGACAAAAUGGUACUAGGGUAGAAUCUGGCCUGUUGCAAGCCCAGUGGCACAUAACUUUUAAUUUAAU